rnacentral:rRNA from 1 species
GAUGAACGCUGGCGGCGUGCCUAAUACAUGCAAGUCGAGCGAACAGACGAGGAGCUUGCUCCUCUGACGUUAGCGGCGGACGGGUGAGUAACACGUGGAUAACCUACCUAUAAGACUGGGAUAACUUCGGGAAACCGGAGCUAAUACCGGAUAAUAUAUUGAACCGCAUGGUUCAAUAGUGAAAGACGGUUUUGCUGUCACUUAUAGAUGGAUCCGCGCCGCAUUAGCUAGUUGGUAAGGUAACGGCUUACCAAGGCAACGAUGCAUAGCCGACCUGAGAGGGGGAGAGGAAAGACUAGAAAUGAGAAACGGUGCAGAAUAAGAAGGAAGGCAGAAGGAGGGAAGCUGAAGAAAGGGGAGAAAGCAUGAAGGAGAAAAGAAGAGGGAGGGAUGAAGGGAUUAGGAUCGGAAAACUCUGUGAUGAGAGAAGAAAAGAUGGGGAAGUAAAUGUGCAAAUCUUGACGGGAACUAAUCAGAAAGACACGGCUAAAUACGUG